rnacentral:rRNA from 1 species
CAGCCGCCGCGGGAAUACGUAGGUGGCAAGCGUUGUCCGGAAUUAUUGGGCGUAAAGGGCUCGCAGGCGGUUUCUUAAGUCUGAUGUGAAAGCCCCCGGCUCAACCGGGGAGGGUCAUUGGAAACUGGGAAACUUGAGUGCAGAAGAGGAGAGUGGAAUUCCACGUGUAGCGGUGAAAUGCGUAGAGAUGUGGAGGAACACCAGUGGCGAAGGCGACUCUCUGGUCUGUAACUGACGCUGAGGAGCAAAAGCGUGGGGAGCGAACAGGAUUAGAUACCCCAGUAGUCCCUGUCUCUUAUAC